rnacentral:lncRNA from 1 species
UUACCAUUCUCAACUACACCAGGUACCAUAUUGAGAAAUCUAGAGAAUAACAUACAAAACACUAUUGUUAUAGUUAAAACCAAGAAUAACAUACAGUAAUAUGUAUCUCACCCAAAGAUUAACAGAUGAGUCGAACACAAAUUUGCUUCGCCGGUCUGUCAAUAUUUAUUGCAGAUAUUCUUCUAGUUCCAUAGAAGCCAUUACAGUAUUUUGCACAAUUGCACCUGGCAAGAACUGAUCGAAGAACCAUAGUCUGACAGUCACUACGUAUAAGCAAAACCCACAAAUAAAAGAAAAUGGGAAAACCAAAUUUUAAUUCCAGCUAUACAAUAUCACUCUCUAAAACUAAACUUAUCCACCUCUAUCAGAAAGUCCAUUUAUCGUCGACCCAUUAGAAUGUAAAUGUUACGAAAUAUUAUAUAGCAAGACCACCUUUUCUCAAAGCCAACCAUAUCAAGAAGUGUCAUUCACCAAUAAGUAAGAAACAAUCUUAAAAUUACUCUGAUUAACAAGUGUAAACAUUUACAAGAGGAAAUAAAACAGUAGCUGGAAUAAGUUCAACAAUAUAUACACUAACCUCCAU